CCAGAGGCUGUGGUAAUGCCACGCUUUCACUCCAUAUGAUGGAGCACAUGGCCUGGCGGAAUUUUCCCCCACUCCUGAUGGCCGUUUCCAUCUCUGCAAGGGGGUGAAAGUCAC
rnacentral:lncRNA from 1 species